rnacentral:tRNA from 1 species
AAAUAGGUAAGCUAAACCCCCCCCCAAGCUAAUGGGUUCAUACCCCAUCUAUAGGAACUAUCCUCCUAUUUA